rnacentral:rRNA from 1 species
GACUUAGGGCGCGAGCGUUGUCCGGAUUUAUUGGGCGUAAAGAGCUCGUAGGCGGCUUGUCGCGUCGUCCGUGAAAACCUGGGGCUCAACCCCAGGCUUGCGGGCGAUACGGGCAGGCUAGAGUUCGGUAGGGGAGACUGGAAUUCCUGGUGUAGUGGUGAAAUGCGCAGAUAUCAGGAGGAACACCGGUGGCGAAGGCGGGUCUCUGGGCCGAUACUGACGCUGAGGAGCGAAAGCGUGGGGAGCGAACAGG